UACGGGAGGAGCAAGCGUUGUUCGGAUUUACUGGGCGUAAAGGGCGCGUAGGCGGUCAGCACAAGUCAGUUGUGAAAUCUCCGAGCUUAACUCGGAAAGGUCAACUGAUACUGUGCGACUAGAGUGCAGAAGGGGCAACUGGAAUUCUCGGUGUAGCGGUGAAAUGCGUAGAUAUCGAGAGGAACACCUGCGGCGAAGGCGGGUCUCUGGACAGUUCCUGACGCUGAGGCACGAAGGCCAGGGGAGCAAACGGG
rnacentral:rRNA from 1 species